GGGCACUUUGAUUUGGAUCCAAACCGAGUCUUUGAUAUUGUUUUGGAGUGUUUUGAACGUCAGCCUGGUAAAUAGUAUAUUUUUGGACUUGAUUCCCAUAUUUCCCAAGUCCCAUGCCUCCCAGAUUCUGGGGUUUAAGUUUCAAUACUACCAACGCCUGGAAGUAAAUGAUCCUGUUCCAAGUGAACUUUAUCAGCUGACGGCCUUGCUGGUGAAAAGAGACUUCAUUUAUGUUGAUAGCAU